rnacentral:lncRNA from 1 species
GCACAGAAUCAAAAAUUUCUAUGGCAAUUUUAAAUCUGAAACUUGAGAUGAACCUCUCCUCAAUCAAACGUUGCCUAUAAAAAGUACUAAACACAGAUGCUUUUAAGAUCUUCUCUUUGAUUUUGGUGUCUGUAUUUAACUACAUUAUGUCCCUGAGCUAACAUCUGCCACUGAUUCUCCUCUUUUUGCUGAGGAAGACUGGCCCUGAGCUAACAUCUGUGCCGAUCUUCCUCUACUUUAUAUGUGGGAUGCCUGCCACAGCAUGGCUUGAUAAGUAGUGAGUAAGUCCGCACCUGGGAUCUGAACCGGUGAACCCUGGGCCACCAAAUCAGAACACAUGAACUUAACUGCUAUGCCACCAGGCCUGCCCUUAUUUUCUGUAUCUUUUAAUUUAUGUCUUUUGUCAAUUCUGGAAAUUUCUCAGACAUUUCUUCAGGUAGUGCCUCCCAUCUGUUCUCUCUGUUCUCUUCCUAGAAUACCAGUUAGAAAUAAGUUAGGUCUUCAAAUUCUG